UCUUAGUGCAUUCUACUUACAAGGAUAAGGCCUGUAAAUCUGAUGAUGGCGACACCACUUCGUACACCAGUCGCAGUUUCGAGUUCCGUGAAGAUCCCUCCUUCUGGAAAGACCACAAUGUUCAGGUAUCUAAUUUUUUUUGUUUUUGUUUUUGUUUUUGUUUUUGUUUUUGUUUUUAUUUUUAUUUUUUAAAUCUAAUUGUUUUUUUUAAUAUGUUAGUUUUGAAUAUUCUGUAUUUGUCGGCAUACAUUGGUUUAGCAGUGAGGCUAUGAGCUUAAUGCACUUCAUAACUUGAUUGACGGGAUGUAAGCUAAUUUACUUCCACUUGCACAAGGCAACGUGCAGGUUGUACGUUUAGCACCAAUUGUUGUACCUCAAUCUGGUUGCAUGAAACUUUUUUAUAUUCCAGUUAUGAAAUUAUUGGGACA
rnacentral:lncRNA from 1 species